CAGCGGGCAGGGUGGGCCGUUUGCCGCGGCUGAAACCACAUGGCAAUAGUGGCACCAGUAACCAUGCGGAGGAUGAACCCCGAUCCUGUUGAGAUUCGCUGUGGGACGAUGACGAGCAGUCUUUGAAGUCUGUCACGGUCAUACCAACAGUCGUAGGACUGUUGUGAUUGACUUAGAUUGUCGAACCGGGUCAGGCCCUGGCGGGAACAGCCCUCAGACUAAGUGGUGGAGCCUCAGAGAGCGCUGCUUUGAGAAGCACAACGAGCAUUCUUUGCAGGGGAAGGACAUCCGAAGUGGUGGGGCCGCUG
rnacentral:SRP_RNA from 1 species